UACGAAGGGGGCUAGCGUUGCUCGGAAUCACUGGGCGUAAAGCGCACGUAGGCGGACUCUUAAGUCAGGGGUGAAAUCCUGGAGCUCAACUCCAGAACUGCCUUUGAUACUGAGAGCCUUGAGUUCGGGAGAGGUGAGUGGAACUGCGAGUGUAGAGGUGAAAUUCGUAGAUAUUCGCAAGAACACCAGUGGCGAAGGCGGCUCACUGGCCCGAUACUGACGCUGAGGCACGAAAGCGUGGGGAGCAAACAGG
rnacentral:rRNA from 1 species